GCGCCCGUAGCUCAAAUGGAUAGAGCAGAGGAUUUCUACCCCUCAGGUUGCAGGUUCGACUCCUGCCGGGCGCG
rnacentral:tRNA from 1 species